GACGGAGGAUGCAAGCGUUAUCCGGAAUGAUUGGGCGUAAAGCGUCCGCAGGUGGCUGUUCAAGUCUGCUGUCAAAGACCGGGGCUUAACUUCGGAAAGGCGGUGGAAACUGAACAGCUAGAGUAUGGUAGGGGCAGAGGGAAUUCCUGGUGUAGCGGUGAAAUGCGUAGAGAUCAGGAAGAACAUCGGUGGCGAAGGCGCUCUGCUGGGCCGAAACUGACACUCAGGAACGAAAGCGAGGGGAGCGAAUAGG
rnacentral:rRNA from 1 species